AGUUUGAUCCUGGCUCAGGACGAACGCUGGCGGCGUGCUUAACACAUGCAAGUCGAGCGGAAAGGCUCCUUCGGGGGUACUCGAGCGGCGAACGGGUGAGUAACACGUGAGUAAUCUGCCCUUGGCUUUGGGAUAAGCCCCGGAAACGGGGUCUAAUACCGGAUACGACGCACUCUCGCAUGGGAUGUGUGUGGAAAGUUUUUUCGGCCAGGGAUGUGCUCGCGGCCUAUCAGCUUGUUGGUGGGGUAAUGGCCUACCAAGGCUUCGACGGGUAGCCGGCCUGAGAGGGUGACCGGCCACACUGGGACUGAGACACGGCCCAGACUCCUACGGGAGGCAGCAGUGGGGAAUAUUGGACAAUGGGCGGAAGCCUGAUCCAGCAACGCCGCGUGAGGGAUGACGGCCUUCGGGUUGUAAACCUCUUUCAGUACCGACGAAGCGCCGAUGAUGGUGGUGACGGUAGGUACAGAAGAAGCACCGGCCAACUACGUG
rnacentral:rRNA from 1 species